UAAGAGUGAAGCAACAAUUGCAAUCAGUUUCGACCUGAAUCUAGGAUAUUACCCUCUCUUAU
rnacentral:tRNA from 2 species